CGCUGGCGGCACGCCUUAUACAUGCAAGUCGAACGCAGUAGCAAUACUGAGUGGCAGACGGGUGAGUAUGAUGUGGGAAUCUGCCUUUUGGUUUGGAAUAACUUGGGGAAACUUAAGCUAAUACUGGAUAAGCCCUUACGGGGAAAGCUUUAUGCGCCAAAAGAUGAGCCCGCACUUGAUUAGCUAGUUGGUGAGGUAAUUGCUCACCAAGGCAACGAUCAAUAGCUGUUCUUAGAGGAAGACCAGCCACAUUGGGACUGAGACACGGCCCAGACUCCUACGGGAGGCAGCAGUAAGGAAUCUUGCACAAUGGAGGAAACUCUGAUGCAGCGAUGCCGCGUGAGUGAAGAAGGCCUUUGGGUUGUAAAACUCUUUCGUUGGGGAAGAAAAUGACUGUACCCAAAUAAGAAGGUCCGGCUAACUUCGUGCCAGCAGCCGCGGUAAUACGAAGGGACCUAGCGUAGUUCGGAAUUACUGGGCUUAAAGAGCUCGUAGGUGGUUAAAAAAGUUGGUGGUGAAAUCCCAAGGCUCAACCUUGGAACUGCCAUCAAAACUUUUUAGCUAGAGUGUGAUAGAGGAAAGUGGAAUUUCUAGUGUAGAGGUGAAAUUCGUAGAUAUUAGAAAGAACACCAAAAGCGAAGGCAACUUUCUGGAUCACUACUGACACUGAGGAGCGAAAGCAUGGGUAGCGAAGAGGAUUAGAUACCCUCGUAGUCCAUGCUGUAAACGAUGUGUGCUAGACGUUGGAAAUUUAAUUUUCAGUGUCGCAGCAAAAGCGUUAAGCACACCGCCUGGGGAGUACGACCGC
rnacentral:rRNA from 1 species